rnacentral:rRNA from 1 species
GACGAACGCUGGCGGCGUGCUUAACACAUGCAAGUCGAACGGAAAGGCCCUGCUUUUGUGGGGUGCUCGAGUGGCGAACGGGUGAGUAACACGUGAGUAACCUGCCCUUGACUUUGGGAUAACUUCAGGAAACUGGGGCUAAUACCGGAUAGGAGCUCCUGCUGCAUGGUGGGGGUUGGAAAGUUUCGGCGGAUGGGGAUGGACUCGCGGCUUAUCAGCUUGUUGGUGGGGUAGUGGCUUACCAAGGCUUUGACGGGUAGCCGGCCUGAGAGGGUGACCGGCCACAUUGGAACUGAGAUACGGCCCAGACUCCUACGGGAGGCAGCAGUGGGGAAUAUUGCACAAUGGGCGGAAGCCUGAUGCAGCAACGCCGCGUGCGGGAUGACGGCCUUCGGGUUGUAAACCGCUUUCGCCUGUGACGAAGCGUGAGUGACGGUAAUGGGUAAAGAAGCACCGGCUAACUACGUG